rnacentral:lncRNA from 1 species
UGUCAGUCUGUGAAAGUAAUUCAACAGUGUCAUGAUAAUGUACAUAGUUAAUGAAGUUAAUUUAUAUUUAGCUUGGGUCUAAAUCACAUAAUAAAUUAUAAAUGAUAUUUUGAGAAACAUAUUAUGGACAAUUCAAUGGCAGAUUUUUGCAUAAAAAUUAACAGAAGUUGAUUCUAUCUUUCUCCAUAACCACUAUUCAUAAGUUGAAAAAAUGUAGUUUUAAUGAAAAUGUAUUAAAAACUUAGCAACUGCUCUCAUUCUAUAGAAAAUGAAGCCACGGCUGGGCACAAUUCUGGACCUCAUUGGAUAUCUCAGACUUGGAAUGCAGGAAAUUUAAAGCUGUUCUAAAGUGGAUCUUGAAUAAGACUCUGAGACUUCUGUGUGGCUAGUCUCUUUUCUUGUAUCAGGAUGGGGUGAUUUUUUUGGAGAAGGACAAGCAGGCAUCACACAGGGAUGGCUCAUAAAGAGGUUGCUAACUUUAAAACAAUCCAGACAGACACUGGACUUUCAGAAGGGAAAUCAGAGGUGGUUGAGUCUACCACUGUCUGUUCCCUCAAUGGCC